UACGUAGGGUGCAAGCGUUGUCCGGAAUUAUUGGGCGUAAAGAGCUCGUAGGCGGUUUGUCGCGUCUGCUGUGAAAAUCCAGGGCUUAACCCUGGACCUGCAGUGGGUACGGGCAGACUGGAGUGCGGUAGGGGAGAUCGGAAUUCCUGGUGUAGCGGUGAAAUGCGUAGAGAUCGGGAGGAACACCAGAGGCGAAGGCGGCGACCUGGACAGUUACUGACGCUGAGGACCGAAAGCGUGGGUAGCGAACAGG
rnacentral:rRNA from 1 species